AUACUCCGGUUUCUCUUCAGAUCAUAUAAAUCUUUGGCCUUUUACUGAAGAUUUCCAUGGACAGGAACAGUUAUGAGUCUUUACCCAAUUUUUUGAGGCCUCUUGUUUAAUGAUUUU
ensembl:snRNA U5 U5 spliceosomal RNA